UACGGGGGGGGCGAGCGUUGUUCGGAAUCACUGGGCGUAAAGGGCGCGUAGGCGGCCCGUUCAAGUCUGCGGUGAAACCCUCCGGCUUAACCGGGGGCCGGCCGUGGAAACUGUCGGGCUGGAGGCUGGGAGAGGGCAGCGGAAUUCCCGGUGUAGCGGUGAAAUGCGUAGAGAUCGGGAGGAACACCGGUGGCGAAGGCGGCUGCCUGGACCAGUCCUGACGCUGAGGCGCGAAAGCGAGGGGAGCAAACAGG
rnacentral:rRNA from 1 species